rnacentral:rRNA from 1 species
UAGGGAAUAUUGCGCAAUGGACGAAAGUCUGACGCAGCGACGCCGCGUGAGUGACGAAGGCCUUCGGGUCGUAAAGCUCUGUUGUACGGGAAGAAAAAAAUGACGGUACCGUAUAAGAAAGGAUCGGCUAACUUCGUGCCAGCAGCCGCGGUAAUACGAGGGAUCCUAGCGUUGUUCGGAAUCAUUGGGCGUAAAGGGUGCGUAGGUGGCCAUACAAGUCAGUUGUGAAAGCCCCGGGCUUAACCCGGGAAGUGCUUCUGAGACUGUUUGGCUUGAGUACUAGAGAGGUGAGUAGAAUUCCAGGUGUAGUGGUGAAAUACGUAGAUAUCUGGAGGAAUACCGGUGGCGAAGGCGGCUCACUGGCUAAGUACUGACACUGAAGCACGAAAGCGUGGGGAUCAAACAG